GAGGUAUGAGGAAAAUAUCAUAACAGUCUGAUUUAUCACUGAAGACUGAUAAGAUCCAACUCUGACCUCAACAAAACC